CUCACCAGGGUGCCAUGGGUGCAGGAUCUGCUCCUUGUCAGGCACUCUGAGGGGUCAUUUCAUGUCUUGGUCACACACCACCUGACCAGCCCUUGUAUUCCCAUUUUACAGAUGGGCGGCUCACUGCCUAUGCUCUUUCCAUUCCCUGAGCUUCCAGGCUCUGUUCUUUCCUAUGCCACCAUCCUAUUGGGUUUCAUUGGUCCAGCCUCUUUCUUCUUGGGACAUCAGUUUUCUCCUCUGAUAAACCGGGGAGGCAGAGAGAGCCAGAAGGUCCCUCUCAUCCCUGACACUUGAGGGGUCCCUUUGCUCCACUUGGAGGCAGCCAGUGACCUCAGCAAUGCUGGUGAUCCAUGCCCUUCUCUCCCAAUGAUUCGUUUGUUGUUCGGGGCCCUUGGAGAAACCCCUGGGUAAAUAUUAAUAAUGCAGGUCUGCCUUCAUGUCUGAGAGAGAGGAUGAAUCAUUUCCUGCUUGCCUCCUGGGCUCAGGAUUGUAGCUGAAAAUAUGCUGGCUCUUUGGAGCAGCUAUAAAGAGAUCUGGGUUGAUGGGGUCUUGUAGCUGAGGCAGAGCCAUGAAAUAGCUGCUCCCGCUGGCUGCCUCGAGGCCUGACCCCUACUGUCCCAAAGGCAUGUCUGCACCGAGAGGCUUAGCGUCCAGGCUGGAUCCUGCCGCAUCCAUGCUGUGAAGCUCGCGCUGCCGCCUCUACAGGUGUCUACGCAGCAGGGCCGGAGGAGGCAGGCUUACCGAAAGCUUGGUUCUCACCCCACUGAACCCUCCAAGUGCUCAUCUUCCCUGGACCCAUGCUGGCCACAUGUAUACUCAACUCUGUGUCCCUAUCCCGAGUAUAUUCUUCAAGGGCAGGGCCCCCCAGGUUACAGUCAGUAUCUCCCAAGCCUCAUCCUCUGAGAGCAUCUGUCCAACUCAUGAUGACUCCCUCUGCCUAGCCCUCUUCACCUACACAGUUUUUUCCAGGUUAUUUACAGGUGCUGAUUGACCUGCCUCCCCUGGUGAAACCCGAAGAGACAGGCAGAAAAUCCAUCCAAGGUGGACCAGGCACAUUCUUUACAGCUGAACCACCUGGGAAGCCCCGACUCGUGGAAGAGAAGCUGCUAACUCUCUGUGAACCUUGGAGUGUGUACUGCUGGGCCUGACGAUCUCGGAGUCAGGGACAAGGUCCCAGGAGAAAGACAGGGAGACAGGGACAGAGAGAAUGAGCAGAAGGGGUCGAGCCUCCCCUGGACUCCAUCCUCUCCUGCCUGGAGUCUCCAGUCUCACUCGCUCCAUGCUGUCAUCAGGUUUGCGAAGCGAAUUCUCACUUCCAUGUGAAAAGCAAAGCAGGGCAGGGCAGACGAAAAUCAAGAAGAAACGAGAAGACCUCUCUUAACCUCAGCCCCUGCCACACCACCAGCUCUCUGCUGGCCCCUACUCCCUCACCUCCACCUUGAGCAGGUGGACCUCCUGCCCUGGCACCUUUCACGCCUCAUCUACUGCUUCCUGAUUUGUCAAGGUCACGCUUGUGACUGCUUCUCUGCUGGAGGUGUAUGACACGAGGAGCCAUGCCCCCUCCUGGAAACGCUCUGACUCUGUGGGACUGCCUGCUUCCCUCCCAUCUGCCUGGCUGGCUGUCUCAGUCUCCUGUGCAAAACCCUCAGGGUUCAGGCCUGGCUUUCCCUGGUUGGAAGGCAUGCUUUUCCUGUGCAAAGCUCAUCAAUUGCAGUGGAUAUUUUUAACAACUUCAUUGAAAUAUAAUUGACAUAUGAUAAAUUAAA